UACGUAGGGUGCAAGCGUUAAUCGGAAUUACUGGGCGUAAAGCGUGCGCAGGCGGUUUUGUAAGACAGGUGUGAAAGCCCCGGGCUUAACCUGGGAAUGGCAUUUGGGACUGCAAGGCUGGAGUGUGGCAGAGGAGACUGAAAUUCCUGGUGUAGCAGUGAAAUGCGUAGAUAUCAGGAGGAAUACCGAUGGCGAAGGCAGGUCUCUGGGCUGACACUGACGCUCAUGCACGAAAGCGUGGGGAGCAAACAGG
rnacentral:rRNA from 1 species